UGGAGGGGCAAGGCGAGUGUCCUUAUCCUACCGAUUGGGGCCCGGGCCUGUGAGCCAGUUGGAGUCGCGGCAGCGUGAACGAUCGGGCCGAGCGGAAGCAGACAUGUUGCUCUUCGUUGAGCAGGUGACAUCUAAAGGCACUGGUUUAAAUCCUAAUGCCAAAGUAUGGCAAGAAAUUCCUUCUGGAAAUCCUGAUGGCACUCCUGUAACUGAAACCUCUUGGCAUGAAACUGCAGCCACAUCUGGAUCUCACCCUGAGGGCAAUACAGAACUUUCAGAAGAUAUGUGUAAGGAAUAUGAAGUAAUGUAUUCUCCAUCUUGUGAAACCACAAGAAAUACCACAGACAUUGAAGAGUCAGCUGAUGGAUUGAUCUUAGGACCUGAAGACCUGAGUUACCAACUAUACGAUGUUUCUGGAGAAAGCAGUUCAACGAUUUCUACGGAAGAUUUAAAAGAAUGUUUGAAAAAACAAUUGGAAUUCUGUUUCUCACGAGAAAAUUUAUCAAAGGACCUUUACUUGAUAUCUCAAAUGGAUAGUGAUCAGUUUGUCCCAAUAUGGACAGUUGCCAACAUGGAAGAAAUAAAAAAAUUGACUACAGAUCCAGAUUUAAUUCUUGAAGUAUUGAGAUCUUCCCCUAUGGUACAAGUUGAUGAGAAGGGAGAAAAGGUGAGACCAAGUCAUAAGCGUUGUAUUGUGAUUCUCAGAGAAAUUCCCGAGACAACACCUGUGGAGGAAGUGAAAGCUUUGUUUAAAAAUGAAAACUGCCCCAAAGUGAUAAGCUGUGAGUUUGCACACAACAGCAACUGGUAUAUCACGUUCCAGUCAGACACAGACGCACAGCAGGCUUUUAAAUACUUAAGAGAAGAAGUUAAAACAUUUCAGGGCAAGCCAAUCAUGGCAAGGAUAAAAGCCAUCAAUACAUUUUUUGCUAAGAAUGGUUAUCGAUUAAUGGAUUCUAGUAUGUAUACUCAACCCAUUCAGGCUCCAACUCAAUAUCCCUCACCUGUCUUCAUGCAACCAGUGUAUAAUCCUCAUCAGCAGUACUCAGUGUAUAGUAUUGUGCCUCAGUCUUGGUCUCCAAGUCCUGCACCUUACUUUGAAACACCACUGGCUCCCUUUCCCAAUGGUAGUUUUGUGAAUGGCUUUAGUUCACCAGGAUCUUAUAAAACAAAUGCUGCUGCUAUGAAUAUGGGCCGACCAUUCCAAAAAAAUCGUGUAAAGCCUCAUUUUAGGUCAUCCAGUGGUUCAGAACACUCAACAGAAGGCUCUGUGUCAUUGGGGGACGGACCAUUGAGCAGAUCUAGUUCAAGGAUCUUUCUUUCUGAAAGGCAUAACGCAACAGUAACGGGGCAUCAAGAACAAACUUACCUUCCAAAGGAAGCUCCCAUUUUACAGAUGGAACAGAAUGGAGACUUUGGAAGAGGCAGGAGAACUCUCUUUAGAGGCCGAAGACGAAGAGAAGAUGACAGGAUCCCAAGACCCCAGCCUACAGCAACUGAAGCAAAGGCUCCAACACCAAAGUUUGACUUACUUGCUACAAAUUUUCCUCCUUUACCUGGAAGUUCAUCAAGAAUGCCAGAUGAACUUGCUUUGGAGAAUAGAAUGUCUGAUGUUGUUAAAGGUGUCUACAAAGAAAAGGACAGUGAGGACCACAACUCAGCAAGAGAAGGAUCAAAUGGAGGAUUCUGUUGUUCCAAAGGACAUUCUCAAUCCAGUGACUGUACCAGUGUCUUCUCCAACUACUACAAAGCCAUCAAGGGCAAACGCCGCUUCACCUUGCAAUA